GCCUCCAUAGCUCAGGUGGAUAGAGCACAGGUUUCCUAAACCUGGGGCCGCUGGUUCGAGUCCAGCUGGGGGCA
rnacentral:tRNA from 1 species